ACUAAAUAGAUACCCGGGUAGUCCACGCCGUAAACGAUGAGUACUAGGUUUGGUGGGUCUUGACCCCCGCCGAGCCGGAGCUAAACGCAAAUAAAGUACUCCGCCUGGGAAGUACGGUCGCAAGACUAAAACUCAAAGGAAUUGACGGGGCCCGCACAAGCGGUGGAUCAUGUGGUUUAAUUCGAAGCAAACGCGAAAAACCUUACCUAGGCUUGACAUCCUCUGACCGCUGCAGAAAUGCAGUUUCGUAGCAAUACGACAGAGAGACAGGUGCUGCAUGGCUGUCGUCAGCUCGUGUGGUGACAUGUUGGGUUAAGUCCCUUAACGAGCGCAACCCCUGCUAUUAGAUGCCACCAUUAAGUUGGGCACUCUAAUAGGACUGCCGUGGUUAACACGGAGGAAGGUGGGGAUGACGUCAAGUCCUCAUGGCCUUUAUGCCUAGGGCGACACACGUGAUACAAUGGACGGUACAAAGAGAAGCGAAUGGGUGACCACAAGCAAAUCUCAAAAAACCGUUCUCAGUUCGGAUUGAAGUCUGCAACUCGAC
rnacentral:rRNA from 1 species